rnacentral:rRNA from 1 species
GGGUGACGAGUGGCGGACGGGUGAGUAAUGUCUGGGGAUCUGCCCGAUAGAGGGGGAUAACCACUGGAAACGGUGGCUAAUACCGCAUAACGUCGCAAGACCAAAGAGGGGGACCUUCGGGCCUCUCACUAUCGGAUGAACCCAGAUGGGAUUAGCUAGUAGGCGGGGUAAUGGCCCACCUAGGCGACGAUCCCUAGCUGGUCUGAGAGGAUGACCAGCCACACUGGAACUGAGACACGGUCCAGACUCCUACGGGAGGCAGCAGUGGGGAAUAUUGCACAAUGGGCGCAAGCCUGAUGCAGCCAUGCCGCGUGUAUGAAGAAGGCCUUCGGGUUGUAAAGUACUUUCAGCGGGGAGGAAGGCGAC